AGGACAGAUGCAGAUGCUCCCCAGCCUUUUGCAAUCUUCUGGCCCACAGGCUCAGCAAACAUUAUUGAAUAGAUGAAUGUUAAAUGUUUCGCUGAGAUCCUGCUUCAGGGAGCCCUGAAAAUGUUACCAUGUUACAGUCAUGUUUUGAUCAGGAGAGCUACAGAGAAUAUUCUGGAAAAGUUUGAGUAAAUCUUAUGAUAUUUAAAUACAUCGAGUAUUAGAGUUUAUUUCUGACUGGCAGGCAAAUAUGAAAUUGAGAUUCCCAGUAUUCCCACUAUUUAGGUGGAGGCAUUAGCACUGAUGGGAUGCAUAGCCAUGGAUGCUGAAGUCCUGAGUCACUUCAUCAGCAGCAGGAUGAAGGUACCCUGUGAAAUGGGGAUUGCCAAUACGAGGACACCUUCCAGAAUGUCAAGGAGUUCCUGGCUUCAGGGUUUGCGCUGAUGCUUUCUGAUGAUUACGGACCAUUGUUUCUUAUCUCUGACCCUUCUUUUCACCAUGCUGGAGCUUUGCUUAGUGAUGGAAUUGCAAAAUGGCACUAAAACAUCUACUUGAAAAAAAUGCUAUCACCCUAGAAGUAUUAACACAUUGGCAAAAAAAAAAAAAAAAAAAAAAAAAAAAAACCC